CAGGGCCUUCCACUCUGACCCGUGUUGUCUUCUUGAUCUUUGUUGAUCUUUACUAAGAUGUGCCUCAUUCUACUUGGACAGUGACACAGGUGUCUCUUAAAUGACAGUGACAAGUACAUCUGGUAGCCAUGGAGUUUGCCUGGUGCUCUCAUUCACCAUGCUAUAAUCUCCUGUAGGUGCCAUUGGCCCUUUCUCGUUAUUUAACAUUACAGUGGAGCUCUCUACUACAGGAAAACAGUUCUCAGCCACAGUGUAUAUUCAACUCCUUUAUUUGGACAUUCCCUUUUACAAUAUCAUUUAAACUGGGGUUGAACUUACACACUACAAUAUUCAUCAGUAUUGACCCACAGACUGAUUUUGUAAAAUAUAUAUUUCUAUCAACCCACCUUUUCAAACAAUUUCCUCUACCUUAUAGGCAUCACUUUGCUUUACAUAAUACUGUUGAGAUUCGUCUAUUUCUAAUGUGACAUUUUCAUUCCUGAGUAGUAUUCUACCCCAUAAAAACAUCAUAGCUUCUUAGUUCACUCACCUAGUAAUGAUAUGUAGGUUGUUUCCAGUUUGGACUUUUCUGAAUAGAAGUUGUUGUGAAUAAUCUUAAGUAGAAUUUAAUUUGGGAUUUCUAAGUCUCUGGUGAAAAGGCUGGCUCAUAGAGUAGAUGAAUAGUGCCUAGUUCCCAUCAGACUUUCACGCCAGUGUCCCUGGGCAGUUCCAGAUGCUUCAUACUCUUACCAACACCAGGUUAAGUAUCCAUGAUUACUAAAAGUGCAACACAAGCUUCACUAUAUGUAAACAUUCUACACUCAGUUACAUAUGGACUAUUCUCAGCAAGGAAUACCCAGUAUAUUAAAAACCUGAAGAGUAUUUCAGACUCUUAUUCAGUUUGGUUACACCAAGAAGCCAUCAGAACUGUGUGUUCCCAGUGCUGUCCAGAUUCACUCACCCUAGCACAGCACAGUCCGUGGGAAGUCAUGGAGCACACGAGCUGAGAACCCAACAAGCUUCCCUGUCAGUUCUACUGUCAUUUGCUAUUGAAUCAGCAUGGUCUUUUUUUUUUUUAAACUUUUCCUUAAAUUUUUAAUAUCACACUUAAUUUGUGAUAUGUGCAUAAAACAGUUGUUCUUGAAAAAAUAUAGUUACGCAAAACCCAAAAGCUAUAAAUAUUAAUCCAAACAAAACAGCUAUUCUCUCUGCACUCAGAGAACUGAUGCAGGAAAAUUGCAAGGUCCAAACUAUCCUGGAUACUAAGGUACCCACAAUAAAAAUACUAAUAAUAAUGGAAUUGCCUGAGCCUAGCUCUUUAAAAAUAGCUCAAUUAGUACUGGGUAUACAGUCCAAAGGCGCAGCACUGGCCCUUCAUGGUCGAACCAUUUUUAAAAGACGCUCUGCUUCAGGUUCCACAUCUGCUAACACCAUUCGUUUCUAGAACUCUUACAACUCGCUUUCUGUAACUCAUAGCACACUACUUGUCCAUACUGUUUUUAACCAGAAAAGAAUUAUAUGCCAAGGAAUUAUAUCUGAAAGCAGAUGAGCUUCAUUUGAGACUUUUCUAGUAGCAUUUUACAGAAACUGUAAAAAGUACCCAGUAAGAAUUGGUUGGUGUAUACUUUUUAGGAGUCAUAUUUCCACAGUUCAGCUGCAGUGAGAAGUUGUGUUAUUGUUAAUAGUAUGCAGUAUGAAUGUAAAAGGGGGAGACAUAUUCAUUAUACAUACAAAGUCAAUACCCAGUGGGUGCCUUGCCUGGAAAAGGUGUUACUAGAGCUUCUACUUAACCCCAGGCAAGCACUUUUACUGACCUCACUUUAUUUAGUACUAAACGUAAAGCUGUAGUGGUUUUGUUCACAGUACUGACAGAAUCAAAUACACACAUAUUUUUGCAACCCAAGACUAAGUAGUAACUAUAAACACUAGUAGUAUCAAAACUUGUGAUUGGUAGUUCUAGUUGGUUAUUCAAGGGCAGUGUUCAUACUGAAUUCUUACCCCUUGUUAUGGUAACUCAGAAACCUUAUGAUGGCAAGUCCUUAUGAUUCAGAAUUUUGCAGAUCUGCUGGGAUCAUCAGGGUCAGGUCUUCCCAGUGUAUUCAAGUGAACAAUAAUAUCCUUGAAGUCUUCAGACAUUUGCUUCAGCAGAGGAUCUAUAUUUUCUGCUAAUCUGAAGAUUCUCUCCUACUCUUCUCUUUGCAACAGAUUAAGGCCAGCUCUGUUCUUUCCAACUAGGUGAACAGAUGCUUUAGUUCUUGCUGCUAUAAUAUGAGACUGACUGCCCAACUCUUAUUCUUCUUACCUUUUCCAAUCCAAGAAUUAACUUGGUUGGCUUUGGUGAAGAAGAUACCUCCCUAGAUCUUGUAGCUGCAGGCUCUCUUUGUCCAUCAGGCUAUCCACUGGACCACAUAUCAUCCUGGACCACAGGAAUUAUUACUGGAUUAAGAGUCAGGUAAAAGUAAAGAUAUGUUGACUAAACCGAUGUUACAAAUACUAGUUAAAGCCACUAUUAAUAAUGGUAAUGGUAUUAGGGUAACCCCAACAGUUGUAGUUGUAGAUGACAAGUUCUGUGACAGCCAUGAAGGCAGAAACAUCUGACACUGCAGUAAGCAUUAAGGCCGCUGAACUACCAGCGAUGGCAACAGCAGAAGAUACCAGAACCAAUCUUAGUUGCAGACAGAAGACAACGCACGAAGUAAGCAUGCAGACCUCUGAAACUGAGCAACACUGAAAAGAGCAGACCUACUCCACCAGAGAGGGAGUGACAUCCUAGCUGGAGAGUGCUUUAGGUCAUCCUUCAGGAGCCUGCUUUAGGUCACAGUUAGGUGUUUUAGGUUGGGUUUCCCCAGGAAGCAGACUGGGGAAUAUUUUAGGGAGCAAACAUCUGUGAGAGAGUAAAUGAAGCACAACUGAGCAAGGGAGAAGCAACUGAGACAGAGGCCACAGGUAACAAUCAAUAGGAUACUCGGGAUAUCUCUAGUCUGCUCCUCAGAAUUAUUCCAAAUUACUGCUGCUCCAAACAGGGAUAAAGGGCAAGAGUAGUGUAAGAAAGAGUACAGCCCACUCUGCUCAGCAAUCUUUCAGUGUUUGCCUGGUUUAUGUUUCUGAUGUAAUAAUGGCAAAUGGCAGACAGUGUAUACUUACUUCUUAUGGCAAUGUAUUAUGGUAGAAUCGGAAUGGUUUAUAGAUUAAAAACCCAUGAAAGUUCUCACUACUAAAUACCAAUCUUAAGGCAACUGACCAGUUUUUCUUUUGAAGUCUGUAAAUGUGUAAAUAUGAGGGUAAGUGCAGGGCCUAAAAUGGUCAGAAGAAGGUACCAGACUCCUGGAGUUACAGGUGAGCUGCUCCAAGUGGAUGAUGGAAACAGAACUUGGGUCCUCUAGAAGAGCAAACAAGAGUUCUUGACCACUGAGCCUUGUUUACAACCUUCAGCUUUAUUUUUUGAAAAAUGAACUACUUAUUACCUUACCCUUACAGACCAGGAAACUAAGACUCAGACAUUCAGUAACUUCACACUCCCAUGGCAGUCACUCCAACACCAAAGGCUGUUAGUCCAAUUCGCACCAUUUGAAACAACCAUAUAUUUUCUUUUUUAAAAUGUCUGCAUAGCCAGGCGGUAGUAGCACACCUUUAAUCCCAGCAGUCAGGAGGCAGAGGAAGAUGAAUCUCUGUGAGUUUAAGGCCGGCCUGGUCUAUAGAACAAGUUCAAGGACAGUCAGGGCUACAUAGAGAAACCCUGUCCAAAAGAAGAAAAAAAAACUUUCUAUUGUAUAAUAUGUAGACAUAUGUGCAUAUUCACCGGGCACAUACACACCACAGCACAUGUGUUGGAGUCAGAGGAUAACUAUAGGUAGAUGUUAGCCAUCACCUUCGACACUGAGAUAGUCUCUUGUUCAGCACUACAUACACAAAGGUGGGUGGACCACAGUCUUCAGGGAUUCUCCUACCUCUAACUCCCAUCUCUAUAGGAACACUGAGGUUAUAGACAUGUACUACCAUGUCUGGCUUCACCAGAAUCCUAUGUAUACAACUCAGGCUUCGUGAUUAUGAGAAAGGGUAUUUUACUCACUGUAAUAUCUUCCCAGUCUUAACAAUUGGAUCAUGCAUAUUUAUGUGAAGAAAUUUAUCAGAUAUCACUGGUGAGUAAAAAGAAUCAAAAUUAAGAAUCAAAUCUUCACUAUCUUGUUCUUCCUUCAUGCUUAGUUUCCAAAGGCCAGGUUCAAAGUGCACAGGUUCAUAAUCAAUCGAGUACCAAUGGUAAAAAAAAUAAAAGUCCUAACCUUCCCAUAAAAAACAAGAGCUCGGAGAUUUGCAAUCAACAGAGCUCCAUAAUAUCGGCUGAUAACAGCAAGUGACUUUGACUGAAAGGCAAAAACUAUGGAGCCAUCACUGAUCCCUUCCCAUAUUCCUGUCACUGAUUCUGCUGUGGCUAGUAAGUCUAGACAGUUUCAGUGUGCUAGCCUAGCAUGAAGAAGUUUCAAAGCUCUUCUUUGUAAUUUUAUCCUUCACCUUUUUCCCCGAGACAAGGUUUCUCUGUGUAGCUCUGGCUGUUCUGAAACUUGUUCUGUUGACCAGGUUGGCCUCAAACACAAAGAUUCACCUGCUUCUGCAUCCUGAGUUCUGGGAUUCAAGGCAUAUGCCAACAAUGUUCAGCUUAAUCCUUAAUCAUUUUUAAGAGAAAAAAAAAGAACUAUAAAAGUUCAAGGCUGUUCUGCUGUGUAAUGAAUUCCACUGUGCACCGUGUGUUGUCUAAAAGUCAAUAGCAAGAUGCUCCCACUAAAAGGCUUUCCAAGGCAAAUGUUCUCUUUCUUUGUGCAAAGAGACAACAUCAAGAACAGUAACAUAAAGAAAUGCCCAGGAACACCUCUCUCCCCAGUUCUGGCUGCCUUCUAUUAACUUGCUUUCUUUGCAAGGUCAUGCUUUUCAUGUAUUUGUCAGUCUGUCUCUCUUACUCCCUCUACCUCGUUUUUCUACCUACUGCAUCCUAUCUUCUCGUUUGAUUCCAUAUUCCUGAAAUGUUUACCCAGAUCACAUACUUAAACACAAUUUUAAAUUGUGGCUCAGGACCAUGGACAGUGCUAAUGGGUUGGCCUGUUGAGUGACCAGCUGAAAAUUUC
ensembl:lncRNA